UACGAAGGGGGCUAGCGUUGCUCGGAAUUACUGGGCGUAAAGGGUGCGUAGGCGGGUCUUUAAGUCAGGGGUGAAAUCCUGGAGCUCAACUCCAGAACUGCCUUUGAUACUGAAGAUCUUGAGUUCGGGAGAGGUGAGUGGAACUGCGAGUGUAGAGGUGAAAUCCGUAGAUAUUCGCAAGAACACCAGUGGCGAAGGCGGCUCACUGGCCCGAUACUGACGCUGAGGCACGAAAGCGUGGGGAGCAAACAGG
rnacentral:rRNA from 1 species